UGAUGAGGUAAUAGUUAUUCAUUGCUCUGUGUUUCUCGUGUAAAUAUUAUUUCUAAACUUUCACAAUACUUUAAAAGUUAAAACAUUAAUGCUGUAGGUAUAAGUGAUGUGUUGUUUUAAGUACUUUUUUAUGCACAAUUUUGUUAAGUAAGGAUUAGAGCGUCGAAUGUUUGAAAUGUUUGGUCAUAAUUACACAUGGAAUUUACGCAGGUAUCACUCCGCCAGAAAAGUAGAGACCUGUGUAUGUGUUUCAUGUUUCCAACAAAGGUAUCACUCCGCCAGAAAAGUAGAGACCUGUGUAUGUGUUUCAUGUUUCCAACAAAGGUGGCCAAUAAAGGAUGAAACGAC